GAAAUGCGAUAAGUAGUGUGAAUUGCAGAAUUCCGUGAAUCAUCGAGUCUUUGAACGCACAUUGCGCCCCCCGGUAUUCCGGGGGGCAUGCCUGUCCGAGCGUCAUUGCUGCCCAUCAAGCACGGCUUGUGUGUUGGGUCGUCGUCCCCUCUCCGGGGGGGACGGGCCCCAAAGGCAGCGGCGGCACCGCGUCCGAUCCUCGAGCGUAUGGGGCUUUGUCACCCGCUCUGUAGGCCCGGCCGGCGCUUGCCGAACGCAAAUCAAUCUUUUUCCAGGUUGACCUCGGAUCAGGUAGGGAUACCCGCUGAACUUAAGC
rnacentral:misc_RNA from 1 species